rnacentral:rRNA from 2 species
UACGGAGGAUCCAAGCGUUAUCCGGAAUCAUUGGGUUUAAAGGGUCCGUAGGCGGUUUGGUAAGUCAGUGGUGAAAGCCCAUCGCUCAACGGUGGAACGGCCAUUGAUACUGCCAGACUUGAAUUAUUAGGAAGUAACUAGAAUAUGUAGUGUAGCGGUGAAAUGCUUAGAGAUUACAUGGAAUACCAAUUGCGAAGGCAGGUUACUACUAAUGGAUUGACGCUGAUGGACGAAAGCGUGGGUAGCGAACAGG